ensembl:lncRNA
UCACAACAAUAGCACAAUGAGGAAGUUACCUUUUUAUGGUCUUGUUCACUUUAUAGAUCACUCACUCAGGUAUACAGGUGUCACAGUUCAGUUGUGAGGAUUUCCAGAAACAGGAAAGAAACUGUUCUUCCUGCUGCUGCUUCUGAUCUGCUCACAAAUCAGAUGGAGGCAGAUAAAGAUAGAGAUACUGCUAACCAGCACAUCGCACUCCAGCAACCCUAUCCUCAGGACAUCCACGCUGUGCUGAGAGAGCUGACCGCCGCAUUGGCUGAACAGAGGGUGAAGAUUGCAUUCCUAGAAAAAGAGAAUCAAGACCAUGUGACAAAACUGAAAGAACUGGAAAAAAAGGAGAUUGAGACUGACAAGAAGUUGCAGCAGCUACAAGGGUCCACAGGCACAAGAAGGCGCACAGCACAUUCCCAGCCAUUCUGAUGAGUACCUGUGGCUCAGUUGAUUUCUUCGCUGGAUUGAGACGAGGGGCCCUGGAGGCUUUCCCCCCCCUUUGUACCCGGUCUUCCUGCCACUUACCCCGAGCUGGCCUGGAUGUGUGUCACCUUCUUGCAGUGUGCUUGAUGUAUCCAAGUGUUCCUUCCAGCAACUUCACCGCUGUGGUCGUCAUCAGCAUCCGAUAUGGACCUUCCCACCGUGGACUGGACCAGCACUUCCUCUCC